CAGCAGCCACGGUAAUACGGAGGGAGCUAGCGUUGUUCGGAAUUACUGGGCGUAAAGCGCACGUAGGCGGUUAUUCAAGUCAGAGGUGAAAGCCCGGGGCUCAACCCCGGAACUGCCUUUGAAACUAGAUGACUGGAAUCUUGGAGAGGUCAGUGGAAUUCCGAGUGUAGAGGUGAAAUUCGUAGAUAUUCGGAAGAACACCAGUGGCGAAGGCGACUGACUGGACAAGUAUUGACGCUGAGGUGCGAAAGCGUGGGGAGCAAACAGGAUUAGAUACCCGGGUAGUCCCUGUCUCUUAUAC
rnacentral:rRNA from 1 species